AGGGUUUUUGGUCUUCGACUGUUUUGUUCAUCCUCCUGAAGGGUUUCAUUUCAAUCCAUUUCAUUGCUUUCAUUUCAGUUUUCUUCAUCGUUCUGAAGAUAAAAUGCCUAGAAGAAAAGUGCGAGAGCUAAGCACUGUUCAAGGUACUCCAAACUCGGCGAAAACAAAAAGCACUGAACAACAGACUGCUAUUGGAUCUUCGAAUGUUCCGAUUACACCUGAGGAACCUACAGAAGUUGAAACUAAUUUAACAUUUAAUUUACAUGCGUGUGGACUUAUUGUUUAUUUAUUUUUAAAAUUCUUAUAUUACAGUAUAGCAUUUUCAGCUAAAAGUGGUGGGACGCGGAGAGUUCGAGGACGUACGCUGCUGAGAGAUUUAUACGAGCUAAAUCCAGUCGAGCGUGUCAAAGUAUGCAGUAAUAGCUUUGGUCAGCCUUAGAGGUGCUCAUGGGCCGGGCGGCCCGGCCCGGCCCGACGGCCCGCCCGAAAUAUGGGAGGGUUUGGGUAAAAAUAUAAGCCCGAAAUAUGGGCUUGGGCAAAAAAACGAGGCCCGUUUAGAAAACGGGCUGGGCCUCGGGCACCACUUUUUCGGCCCG